GGGGAUAUAGCUCAAAUUGUUGAGCAUAUGCUUAGCAUGCAGGAGGUCCUGGGUUCAAGCUCCAGUUUCCCCU
rnacentral:tRNA from 1 species